UUCCUUUUCGAAUCAGAAUCAACAUUAAACUCGACCAAGUGGUCAUUUCUUUGUCACAUCAUGGGCUUCAUGGCCACAUGAGUUGUUACUUUUCUCAUUAAAACUUGACUUUAAUGUUCCAUUCCACGUGGCAAAGAGACAGAACUGAUAUCAAAGAAACUGAAUCCACAAACCCAGUGAACUAAAUAUUUCAAAAAUCAACUAGAAUUACCCAUGGCCACCUCAUGCAAGAUGGAGCAGAAUCAAUGUGAUCACCACCAAAAGUAGAAACGGCGCGUUUAGACGAGCGUGCCAAUCGGGAUCGGAUUUCGCUUAGGAUCAAUUUCAUUAUCGGUUUCCCAUACUCUACGAUAAGGAGGACAUUUCCUAGAAGGGGGAAAAAAAAUAUGUAACUGUGGAGAUGGACACCGAAGAAGGUAUUAUAAUACCACAUGCCUAGAGCAUUGUAUUUGCAACGUCUAAAGUCUUUCUUUUCUCUUUUCUUUUUCAUGAUGGGUAUAUUAUAUAUAUGUAUGCAUUAUCUGCGAAAGUGUAUGACAAGUAGUCGAGACGUCUAUCUUCUACUAAAUAAUAGACACACUACAACAGA